UCCAUGAUGGUGUAAUGCUCACAUCGCUGUCUUUCACACGGCAGCUCGGGGUUUAAUUCCCCGUCGUGGAA